UCGAGAUCAUGACCUGAGCCGAAGUCAGACACUUAACCAACGGAGCCACCCAGAUGCCUCUUGACAGAAUCAAAAACCAAAACAACAUGUAAAAUCAUCUCAGGCAGGGAUUCCUUACCUGCCCCCCUGCCCUGAGGGUACUCGUGUCCCCGACAAAGCUUCCAAAAGCACAAGUCACUUACUCAUCUCCCCAGACCCACAACACGCAGCAUCGUCUCAACUCUGGGCACGUCCCUUACACCGGCGGGCACCUCCCAAACCCUGCACCUGCCACGGAGCCUCCCGGGCUGUCAGGAGACACGCGCUGGCUUCCUCACCCCUCUGUGUUUAGACUCCAAACCUCCACUGCUCAGACACAUCUGUGACAGCAGGAAGCCUUGCCUCUUUGCCUCACCCUUAUUUUCUUAGAUGGAUAAGGGUUUUCUGUUGUUUUCCAUCCUGCGAGACAGGGUGGAAAUGGGAAGCUGCUUGUGUCACCGGAGAUCCCCUGGGCUGGCAGGCAGUGAGAGAUCUGAGUUGGGAAGAGCCUGGUCACUUCACGGGGUUAGGGCAGUGACCUUGGAGCCUGGGCCUCACCCCGGACCAGUUACAUCAGAAUCCGUGGAGGUGGAGCCCGGGCCACAGUACUUGGUGAAAGCUCCAAGGCAAUUCUCAGCGCCACGGGGGAGGGGAGGUCAGCUCUCCCUGCCUAGUCGGUGAGCUGAGAGUCAAAGGCAUCCCUCUGUCCGGAAGCAGGAAGCCCACGUAGAGGCCAUCCACAAGGUCAUGCUUUGAAGUAGGAAAAGUUGCAUUGCUGGCUACGGGCAGGGACAUUCCUAGCACUUGAAGACACCUGGCCUGGUGGUCACGUGGCCCUGGAGACACCAGGUCUAGAUGCUAACCCAGAACGGCAGGUGGGAGUUAUGGCGGAGACAAAAGACAACGAAAAUAAAAGGAUGACGAGCUGGCAGGAAAGACAGAUGGAUACAGGGGAGGUCAAUCCAAGUAGGAGUUGCUCACAUCCUUCCCACAGCGAUGGCCAACGACAGUGUUUUGUUCACCUCCAAUAUGUCCCACGGCGGAGCCUUGAGUUUACGUGUUGGAUACUGUUUAUCAAAUGAAUGGCAAAGACACCCCCCGCCCCCCGGAGCUCUUCUCCAGUGACUCACAAGCUUGGUGUCCGAAGCUCUCUCUGUUCCUCGUAUUCUCCCCCGCUGCCCGCUUUAUCCUCACCCCUAACCAGCGGGGGUACGUCGAGGCAGGGGAGGGCAGAGGGACCAGAUGUAUACUUUUACUUACGCCUUUAAUCCUCCGGGA